UCUCGAUUAGUAUAGUGGUCAGUAUGCCAGCUUGUCAUUCGUCGGAAUAACUCGCUGGAGACCGGGGUUCAAUUCCCCGAUCGAGAG